AACGAACGCUGGCGGCAUGCCUAACACAUGCAAGUCGAACGAGACCUUCGGGUCUAGUGGCGCACGGGUGCGUAACGCGUGGGAAUCUGCCCUUGGGUUCGGAAUAACAGUUGGAAACGACUGCUAAUACCGGAUGAUGACGUAAGUCCAAAGAUUUAUCGCCCAAGGAUGAGCCCGCGUAGGAUUAGCUAGUUGGUGAGGUAAAGGCUCACCAAGGCGACGAUCCUUAGCUGGUCUGAGAGGAUGAUCAGCCACACUGGGACUGAGACGCGGCCCAGACUCCUACGGGAGGCAGGAGUGGGGAAUAGUGGACAAUGGGCGGAGGCCUGAUCCAGCAAUGCCGCGUGAGUGAUGAAGGCCUUAGGGUUGUAAAGCGCUUUUACCCGGGAUGAUAAUGACAGUACCGGGAGAAUAAGCUCCGGCUAACUCCGUG
rnacentral:rRNA from 1 species